rnacentral:miRNA from 1 species
AACAUGUAAUAGAUAUCCAC